AAUAUUUGACAAUGGGGGCAACCCUGAUCCAGCCAGGCCGCGUGUGUGAAGAAGGUCUUCUGAUUGCAAAGCACUUUAAGUUGGGAGGAAGGGCUUUAGGUUAAUACCCUGAAGUUUUGACGUUCCCAACAGAAUAAGCACCGGCUGACACUGUGCCAGCCGCCGCGGUAAUACAGAGGGUGCAAGCGUUAAUCGGAAUUACUGGGCGUAAAGCGGGGGUAGGUGGUUCAGUAAGAUGGGUGUGAAAUACCCGGGCUUAACCUGGGAACUGCUUUCAUAAAUGCUGAGCUAGAGUACGGUAGAGGGUAGUGGAAUUUCCUGUGUAGCGGUGAAAUGCGUAGAUAUAGGAAGGAACACCAGUGGCGAAGGCGACUACCUGGACUGAUACUGACACUGAGGUGCGAAAGCGUGGGGAGCAAACAG
rnacentral:rRNA from 1 species